CCUACGGGUGGCAGCAGUGAGGAAUAUUGGUCAAUGGGCGCGAGCCUGAACCAGCCAAGUCGCGUGAAGGAUGACGGCCCUACGGGUUGUAAACUUCUUUUAUCAGGGAGCAAUUGGGUCCACGCGUGGCCUUAGCGAGAGUACCUGAAGAAAAAGCAUGGGCUAACUCCGUGCCAGCAGCCGCGGUAAUACGGAGGAUGCGAGCUUUAUCCGGAUUUAUUGGGUUUAAGGGGUGCGUAGGCGGAAUAUCAAGUCAGCGGUAAAAAUUCGGGGCUAAACCCCGUCGUGCCGUUGAAACUGAUGGUCUUGAGUGGGCGAGAAGUAUGCGGAAUGCGUGGUGUAGCGGUGAAAUGCAUAGAUAUCACGCAGAACUCCGAUUGCGAAGGCAGCAUACCGGCGCCCAACUGACGCUGAAGCACGAAAGCGUGGGUAUCGAACAGGAUUAGAUACCCCAGUAGUC
rnacentral:rRNA from 1 species